rnacentral:rRNA from 1 species
AGCGGCAGACGGGAGAGUAACACGUGGGAACGUGCCCUUCAGUUCGGAACAACCCAGGGAAACUUGGGCUAAUACCGGAUACGUCCGUAAGGAGAAAGAUUUAUCGCUGAAGGAUCGGCCCGCGUCUGAUUAGCUAGUUGGUGGGGUAACGGCCCACCAAGGCGACGAUCAGUAGCUGGUCUGAGAGGAUGAUCAGCCUCACUGGGACUGAGACACGGCCCAGACUCCUACGGGAGGCAGCAGUGGGGAAUAUUGGACAAUGGGCGCAAGCCUGAUCCAGCCAUGCCGCGUGGGUGAUGAAGGCCCUAGGGUUGUAAAGCCCUUUCGGCGGGGAAGAUAAUGACGGUACCCGCAGAAGAAGCCCCGGCUAACUUCGUGCCAGCAGCCGCGGUAAUACGAAGGGGGCUAGCGUUGCUCGGAAUCACUGGGCGUAAAGCGCACGUAGGCGGCUUUUUAAGUCAGGGGUGAAAUCCUGGAGCUCAACUCCAGAACUGCCUUUGA